rnacentral:rRNA from 1 species
GACGAGCCUCACAAACGUUAUUCGGAAUUACUGGGCUUAAAGGGUGCGUAGGCGGCGCGGAAAGUUGGGUGUGAAAUCCCUCGGCUCAACCGAGGAAUUGCGCUCAAAACUACCGUGCUCGAGGGAGAUAGAGUAAUGCGGACCUUACGGUGGAGCGAUGAAAUGCGUUGAUAUCGUAGGGAACACCGGUGGCGAAAGCGGCAUUCUGGAUCUCAUCUGACGCUGAUGCAUGAAAGCUAGGGUAGAAAUCGGG